AGAAGUGAUAUUUUCUUGUGAAUUUCUACAUUCUCAGUAACAGCAGAGCUCUCAGUGUGGCAUUUUUAAAAUUAGCCUAAAUUAGAAGAACACUGACAUUUCUAUUAAUUCAAUAAACUUUAAUGAUCACUGACUGACUCUGUACCAAGUAUUUUUCUAGAUUCAGGGAAUAUAUCAAUGAACAAAAUAUAUAAUUAUUGAUUUUCUAAUAUAUGAUUCACACAUUCUAGUGGACCAAAACAUUGAUUAUUGAAAUAGCCACUUAAAUAGUAUAUUUAAAUUGGCCCUAAGGAAGAACUAUUUUCUUUAUAUGACUUUCAGUGGAUCUGCAAUAUUCCCUUAUUUGCGUUUUUUUUUUCUUCAGUGCUGAUUUAACCAGGAAUUGUAUAAUAUUGGAAUUAACUAUGUUAGUUCUGAUCAAAAUUCCUAAGCUAUGAAUUCUCUGAAAUAAUAUUCUGUUGCUUAGAAGUAAAAUAUAAAAAGAUAUAAAGGCUUAGCUGUCCUGGUUAUAGUGGAUUUGGGGGAUCUAAAAUCUCACCUGCUUAGCUUCCCAUUCCUGCCCUCCAGUUUUUCCUUUUUUUUUUUUUUUUUUCCUCCAGUUUUUCCUACCUAAAGGCUGCUCUAAAGUAGCUCCAAGGUUUCCCUCUUUUCCCAAGAAUCUGAAGAGCCCAAUUUAAAAACCAUUUAUGUAGAUCAUCCAUGCAGCAAACGCCAAUAAAGUAAAAAAUAAGGAGCCUGGAAGAAGAUGUAUAACAUGCCCAAUAACAGGUUUAUGGACAUCUGUAGCAGACAACUUUCAUUUUUACUCUUUGCCCAGCAGCAGUGGUCUUUUGUCUGGAUCUGCUCUGUGCCACCCACCAUCAGGAAGCUUUUGAUUCUUUUCCUCCAUAAGAGGCAGUAGUUUAUUCUCUGGGAUCACAGCAUGUGAGUGUUCCUGCCUUUACCCCAGUAGCUUACUUCUUGCUUGGUAUGCAAGAAGGAACAUUGUAAUAUUGGGAAUUCUGUAUUUUUGUACCAUAGAAGGAGGGAGGCAGGCACUCUAAGAUCUUCUAUUCUGCUUCCUGUAUUUCUCAUGGCAUUUGUGAAGCCCUUGGGAAGACCUGGCAAAUGACUGUGGACACCUCUUAUGUCCAGGUUCUUAAGAAUUCCAAACUCUCCUUCUAGCUUAAACUUGGCCUUUAUGUGUUUGUUAACAAUCAAAUCAACCCUUUCCAUUCCUCUGAUACCCUGGUGGCUGCUUCCUUCUCCCUGACCAUGCCAGAAGUGGAAAAAUUUCAUGUACAUUCUCUCUCUUCCCGGGGCCUUGCUUUCUUUCCAAAUUCAGUUGCCAAGUUGCUUUGGUCAUACAUUCUUGGCCACUUAGAAUAGAUUUUUUUUUUUUUUUUUUUGAUGCCUCACAACAUAAAAGUCUUGGUGAAAGAAAGCAACUGGGAAGAUUAGGUUGCUCAGACAAUC
rnacentral:lncRNA from 12 species